AGUGAACGCUGGCGGUAGGCCUAACACAUGCAAGUCGAACGGCAGCACAGUAAGAGCUUGCUCUUACGGGUGGCGAGUGGCGGACGGGUGAGGAAUACAUCGGAAUCUACUUUUUCGUGGGGGAUAACGUAGGGAAACUUACGCUAAUACCGCAUACGACCUACGGGUGAAAGCAGGGGAUCUUCGGACCUUGCGCGAUUGAAUGAGCCGAUGUCGGAUUAGCUAGUUGGCGGGGUAAAGGCCCACCAAGGCGACGAUCCGUAGCUGGUCUGAGAGGAUGAUCAGCCACACCGGAACUGAGAUACGGUCCAGACUCCUACGGGAGGCAGCAGUGGGGAAUAUUGGACAAUGGGCGCAAGCCUGAUCCAGCCAUACCGCGUGGGUGAAGAAGGCCUUCGGGUUGUAAAGCCCUUUUGUUGGGAAAGAAAAGCAGCAGGUUAAUACCCCGCUGUUCUGACGGUACCCAAAGAAUAAGCACCGGCUAACUUCGUG
rnacentral:rRNA from 1 species